rnacentral:rRNA from 1 species
UACGUAGGAGGCGAGCGUUGUCCGGAAUUACUGGGCGUAAAGAGCGCGUAGGCGGCACAGUACGACCGAUGUGAAAGCCCCCGGCUCAACCGGGGAGGGUCAACGGUAACGGCUGAGCUGUGAGUGCAGGAGAGGGAAGUGGAACUCCGGGAGUAGCGGUGAAAUGCGUAGAGACCCGGAGGAACACCAGUGGCGAAGGCGGCUUCCUGGUCUGUAACUGACGCUGAGGCGCGAAAGCUAGGGGAGCAAACGGG